UCUCCGUUGGUGAACCAGCGGAGGGAUCUUUACCGAGUGCGAACUCAUAACCCUUUGUGAACCUAUAUCUGUUGCUUCGGCGGCUCGCUCUCGGGCGAGCCCGCCGGUAAUAUCAGUAUCUCUGUUUGAACCCGACGAUACUUCUGAGUGUUCUUAGCGAACAGUUAAAACUUUUAACAACGGAUCUCUUGGCUCUA
rnacentral:misc_RNA from 1 species